CGCUGGCGGCGUGCCUAACACAUGCAAGUCGAACGCGCUCCAUUCGGUAGCAAUACUGAUGAAGAGCGAGUGGCGAACGGGUGAGUAGCACGUGAGCAACCUGCCCCGAAGACUGGGACAACACCGGGAAACCGGUGCUAAUACCGGAUAUCCCUAUCGGACCGCAUGAUCCGAUAAGGAAAUGGAUUCCGCUUCGGGAGGGGCUCGCGGCCUAUCAGCUUGUUGGUGGGGUAAUGGCCUACCAAGGCAUCGACGGGUAGCUGGUCUGAGAGGACGAUCAGCCACACUGGGACUGAGACACGGCCCAGACUCCUACGGGAGGCAGCAGUGGGGAAUCUUGCGCAAUGGGCGAAAGCCUGACGCAGCAACGCCGCGUGGAGGACGAAGGCUUUCUGAGUUGUAAACUCCUUUCAGCAGGGACGAUAGUGACGGUACCUGCAGAAGAAGCACCGGCCAACUACGUGCCAGCAGCCGCGGUGAUACGUAGGGUGCAAGCGUUGUCCGGAUUUAUUGGGCGUAAAGGGCUCGUAGGCGGUUUGAUAAGUCGGGUGUGAAACCUCCAGGCUCAACCUGGAGCCGCCACUCGAUACUGUCAUGACUA
rnacentral:rRNA from 1 species